GGGGAUUGAGUCUGCAACUCAGGUAUGUGCACUUGACCAGAAUUGAACCCAGGACCCUUCAGUCUGAAAGCUGACGCUCUAUCCACUGAGCCAAACUGGCUAGGGAACCUGUACUAUGUCUUAAUUAUUUCUUGUUCCUCCAAAUAGUGAAACUGUCAUUAACUUGCAAUAUAGCAUGUAAUACAUCAAAGUCUUGAAGUCAGAGUAAUUAUUUGAAUUGCUGAAUAAAAUGAAGUUUUUACGGUUCACAGGUUCUUAAAACAAUUUUUUAAAAGGCAAAUUAUGAAGUUCCAAUUUGAGGUGCUGGGAGUCUGCCUUCCUGGAUGGAUAGAUAGGAUGAUAAGCAUAUUCACUGUUUGGUUUUAAACAUAGAUUUUGCUAAUUUGAGAAGUGUUUGGAAGCAGUUUACUUUAGGAAGUAGCUUCAACAUAUCCCCUACAAUCUGUGUCCACCUGGUUCUAGAUAUAGGUAGUAUGGGUAUGGACCUGCUGGGUGUCCUUUGAACAAUGUCAGUAACCCCCUAUCUCCCUCAGCAAAAAUGCCACAGCAGUUUUCUUCCUUCUGUCAGAAUGGCUGUCUUAGGGAUUAUUUAAUAUACACUAGUUGUACCAUCCCCAGUCCUUUUAUGUGAUACAAAUGUCUUGGGGAGGGUUAAUUUGCAAGAAUUAAUCAUGAACAUUUUUUCCAAGAUCUCAUGAAAGGAGGGAAGACAUGUUAUUUGUAAGGGGAGAAGGAUGUCCUGGAAUUAGAGAUGAAGACCUAUAUAAUAACAAAAUGGCUGAAGAUAUUUUUAGCACACCCAGUGUUCCAGGAAACUUACACAGAUGUUCAUGUUUAAUCUUCAACACCCCUCAUGAGUUUUCUUUCAGGAAGAGAGUCCAUAUCAACCAUGAAGUAGAUGUUCUUAUAACUUAAGAAGUAGAUCUGUGCUGCAGUGUUACACUGAGGUAACCAUGGAAGUGUGCUACUUGGACUUCCCUUCAGGACAAUCUUCUAUCAUGAUAGUAGUGAGCAGUCACCUUCCAGCUACUGCACUUUUGUUUUUUUGUUUUUUUUUCUUUUAAGUCCUUACCUGUGGGUAUUUUUUCCAUUCAUUGCUAGAGAGAGUGGAAGGGAGGGAAGAGGAGAUGAGAGAGAGAAACAUCAAAGUGAG